UACGAAGGGUGCAAGCGUUGCUCGGAAUUAUUGGGCGUAAAGGGUAGGUAGGUGGUAAUAAAAGUCUGGGGUGAAAUCCCUGAGCUCAACUCAGGACGUGCCUUGGAAACUUUAUUACUAGAGUGCUGGAGAGGUUCGCAGAAUUCCCGGUGUAGCGGUGAAAUGCGUAGAGAUCGGGAGGAAUACCAGAGGCGAAGGCGGCGAACUGGACAGCAACUGACACUCAACUACGAAAGCGUGGGUAGCAAACAGG
rnacentral:rRNA from 1 species